GAUGAACGCUGGCGGCGUGCCUAAUACAUGCAAGUCGAGCGAACAGACGAGGAGCUUGCUCCUCUGACGUUAGCGGCGGACGGGUGAGUAACACGUGGAUAACCUACCUAUAAGACUGGGAUAACUUCGGGAAACCGGAGCUAAUACCGGAUAAUAUAUUGAACCGCAUGGUUCAAUAGUGAAAGACGGUUUUGCUGUCACUUAUAGAUGGAUCCGCGCCGCAUUAGCUAGUUGGUAAGGUAACGGCUUACCAAGGCAACGAUGCGUAGCCGACCUGAGAGGGUGAUCGGCCACCUUGGAAGUGAGACACGGUCCAUGCUCCUACGGUAGGCAGCAGUAGGGAAUCGUCCGCAGUGGGCGAGAGCCUGACGGAGCAAGGCGGCGUGAGUGAUGACGGUCUUCGGAGCGUAAAACUCUGUUAUUAGGGAAGAACAAAUGUGGAAGUAGCUAUGCACGUAUUGACGGUACCUAAUCAGAAAGCCACGGCUAACUACGUG
rnacentral:rRNA from 1 species